AUUAAAAUAAGUGCGUGCAAACUACGCGAAACUAUGUGAGCUAAUUUUACUUAUAUGUCAUGUAGUAUAAUGACAGACCAAAGAAAAUUUAGGGGUGAAAGGCUUUACAAACAUAGUGAUAUCUCGAUUUUCUCGAAAUGUAUUAGUACAUUUACAGAUUUAAAGCUAUAAGGUUUUAAAUAUCAACAAAUUUUGAUCACUUUAUUGUAGGAUGUAAGAGUCUAUACAUAAGUUAACAUAACAUACAUAUCAUAGUAUUGUUGGACAUAGAGAAAUAUAUAAUAAUUUAAAUCAUAUCAAUAAUGUUACUAUAAGUAUUAAGAAGAUGCAAAUAGUGAACUCGGCAUUAAGUUUUCAACUGUUUAUCAAAAACAUAGCUGCGUGGAACUACACGCAGUAUUUUCUGCUCAAUGAAUAUUAAAUAGCCGCAGUACACUGACUGUGCAAAGGUAGCGUAAUCAUUUGUCUUUUAAUUGGAGUCACGUAUGAAUGAAUACAUGGGGACUUUCUUUACCAUUGGCAACAUUAGAAGUUAAUCAAUGAGUGAAAAAGCUCAUAUAAAAAUAAAAGACGAGAAGACCCUAGAAAUUUAUGUGAAUAUUUUGUUGGGGCAACAUAGUAACACAAAACUUACUGUAUAUAUAUGAAAUAAAAUAGAUAACGCAAAUUACUCUAGGGAUAACAGCAUAAUAUUUAAAUGUUUGUGACCUCGAUGUUGGAUUAGGGAGUUAUAGUUCAGAAGACUAUUAACCACGCUCUGUUCGCGC
rnacentral:rRNA from 1 species